CCUCAACCAAACCUUGGAUCUGAGUUGGACCCAUCGACGUCACUGGUCCUACUAAUUCUACCUAUAAUUACUCUUUUACCCCUAAUCGUCCAUUCACAUCCACACAAGCAAUAGAUACACUCACUAAUCCUAAAGUCCCCUCAGAUACAUCUCAUACACCGACUUUUAAACAAGCAUAUAUGGACGACUCCAAAACCACAAAUGAUUCCAACUGUGAUACAGCUAGUUCGGAAAGGACCGACGACAGUCAUACCCCAAACCCUAGAAGCACCCCUAUACCUCUUAACUUAAACUUACCAAAAGAAGAUAUAUUAAAAGAGGAAUCUACUUUUAUUAUACCUAGUACAAAAGGACAAAGCCAUAAAAAUAACUCCCAGAAUAUCUCCAUAACCCUUGUCACUUCUAUAUCUAUCAACUUACCUAAUGUAGAAAAUGAUGCCUCGCUCAUCAUUCAGUUCCCAAACUAGACACCAAAACGCAAGAUUACAACUACUCCAAACUCACUAUCAAGUCAACAUUCCAAGGAUGGAGAAUUCACCAACCCUGAUCCCCAAACUCUCAGAUCCCUACCAUAUCGAUGCCAAUGACACCCAUUUGCUCCACCCCAGCCCCACUACCAUAUGCAAUACCCAAGUCAUGGCUGGAGAUGAGCCUGCAGGGGCACUCACUCUCCUUUAGAAUGAUGCAGGAAAGGAGGGAAGUAGACAUUGUAGUGUAAAAACCAUCAUUCAUAGCUCAAGUGGUAUCCGAGGGGAUGCGUCUGGCAAUAGAAAGCUACCACAACCAAGUUUGGCUAGCCUCAGGCAAGUUACCCAUUUCCCCAGCUCCUCUUCUUUCACAUUCCUACUUGGGAAAUGCCACUACUACACCCACUGGAACAACAUCAGGGGACAUACCUUUCUUUCCAUCUUAUUCAUCAAACCCAACAAUGGACCCACUAUACAACCCUCUAUAGUCCUACUAACAAGGAGUACCUCUUUCUGUGAUGGUCCCGAUGGGGUCUUUAGGAAGCUCAACACAGAGUCCAACAGAUGUGGCGUUAUCAUCCCAGGUACCGAUUCCUUCUCGCUUAACCUCCCCCCUACAUUUCCCCAUCUUACUUUGAACACAGAGGAAAUAGAUGGAGCAAUAGAACUUAUGAGGAAAACAAGAACAGAAAUAACAGUUCUAAAAGAAAUAAAAAUAAUGAUAUAGAAAGCCUUGUACGAAAAGAAGCUCAUUCUUAUUUGUCAUCUGAAGCUAUUAAAAACUUGCUAGAUAUAAAGCCUCCACCAAACCCAUAAAUAGGGAACUAUAUUCUAAUAAUAAACCCUUUGUUGAGGGAACAAGUGAUACUGGUAGAAUCCAGGAGGAAUUUACCAUUAAUAGUUCCAUGCAACUUAAACAGAUCGAUGAACAUAAUAGUAUGGAAUUGUAGGAGUGUAACUACCCCAAUUUUAGGUGAAACUUUAGAUCACUUCUAGACUGGCACAAACCUCCCCUUGUUUCCUUACUGGAAACCAAGAUGACAGUCCAUCAGUCCCUCCUCAAGAACUUUUCAUUGAAUGAAAUGAUAGAAGUUCCAUCUAAUGGAUAAUCAAGAGGCAUCGUAGUGAUUUGGGACAACUACCUGGAGCUUGACUGGAUCGCAACAACUAACCAGAAAAUGCAUGCAAUGAUUAAGGGAAUUACUCCACAGGCUGAAGAACCCACUGAUCAAGCAUAGCCGUAGGAAGCAACACCAGGUAGCAGAUCUACUAGCUAAAUAGGGAGCAAGUCAAGAAGCGAAUGGAGUUUUUGUAGAAUGAAAAGCAAUCCCACCUUUUGCAUAUAAAGCCAUGGUAGCAGAUAGGGAAAAAAGAAUUAGUUUUGUUGAUCUACAUAGUUACCCCUGUAUUAGGAAUGUAUCUAAUAGUAUUAUAUCUAGAAUUGCUACUACUAUCCCCACAAAAUAGUAGAUCGUGUAACCACUUGAUUGUUCUGGAUGCAUAUAAGUGUUAUUAAUAAUAUUUCCUUUCUAACCAAUAAGAAACAAA